rnacentral:rRNA from 1 species
GUAGGGAAUCUUCCACAAUGGACGAAAGUCUGAUGGAGCAACGCCGCGUGAGUGAAGAAGGUUCUCGGAUCGUAAAACUCUGUUGUGAGGGAAGAACAAGUACCGGAGUAACUGCCGGUACCUUGACGGUACCUCAUUAGAAAGCCACGGCUAACUACGUGCCAGCAGCCGCGGUAAUACGUAGGUGGCAAGCGUUGUCCGGAAUCAUUGGGCGUAAAGCGCGCGCGUGCGGUCCCUUACGUCUGAUGUGAAAGCCCACGGCGCAACCGUGGAGGGGCAUUGGAAACUGGGGGACUUGAGUGCAGAAGAGGAAAGCGGAAUUCCAAGUGUAGCGGUGAAAUGCGUAGAGAUUUGGAGGAACACCAGUGGCGAAGGCGGCUUUCUGGUCUGUAACUGACGCUGAGGCGCGAAAGCGUGGGGAGCAAACAGGAUUAGAUACCCUGGUAGUCC